AUGAGUUGGAAUUGCCGGGGUUUGGGAUCUCCCUCGGCAAUUCGAUCGCUUCUGGAACUUCAGAAGCAACAUGGUCCUGACAUACUUUUCCUCUCCGAAACUCAUCUUGAUGAAAACGGAGGGGAAAGGUUACGCUUGAAACUGGGUUUUGGUAGUAAGUACAUUGCUCCAAGCGGUGGAAGAAGUGGUGGCUUGCUGUUGAUGUGCAAACAGGAGGUGAAAAUGCAGCUGAACUUCUUGCAUGAUAAUUACAUUGAUGUUAUUAUUCAGGGAGUAGAUGCAAGCAAGGACUGGAGACUUACCGGUAUGUAUGGAGAACCGGUAUGGAGAAAUAAGAAGAACACAUGGAAACGUUAUGGAGAAAUAAGAAGAACACAUGGAAACGACUGA
rnacentral:rRNA from 1 species